UCUUAUGAUGUUGAAAUUUUUUAUGUUAUAUUUUGUUCUAGGUUUUAGAUGUGUUUCUUGCAGGGCAACACAUAAUGGCGUAUGUCUUUGAAUCAAUAGUUUCAACUCGUUUAAGUUAUUGGAUAGUCCCCGACAAUUCCAUUGGAUAAUUUUGGUAUCCAUUACAAAGAUAAGAUUAAAAGAAACAACAAUGGAAUAAAUAAUAUUAAUAAAUAACAGAUCAUAGUGUAUAAGGGACGACUACAAACAAAUAACAAUUAAUUUAAGACAGAUACAAGAGACAGAUAUAUCACAGAUUUGGUAAUUCAAUACAGAUUGUAGGUAGAUUAUCACAGUAAAUAUAUCACGUAUGGGUAUCAACACUAGAGAGAGAUUUUCCUAGGUUUGCCCUUUGGCCAUCCUUUUUUCUUCUUUUGUUGAAGAAUUUGUUUUCUCUCUAUAUCUAAGGCUUCUUCAUCUAAUAUUGGCGAAGAUGGGGUUGAACUAUCCUCAUCUCGCUUCCUCUUAUCAACAGGAUCCGCGAUUGUCACAUGACAGUCCUGGAACUUCCAUGAGGUAAUUCUAUCGGAGACGGAGAUACGGUUGGUUUCGGCAUUGAUUGUUUAACAUACUCAACUAAGAUACCAGGUUGGGUUGAGUAUCAGUGGUUAGGCGUGUAGCAACAUUUGAGUACGAGUUGUUUGAAGUAACAGCCGAUCCAAGCAUUCGUUUUGCCUCCAGAUAAGACACCUUACGGGUAACCUUUAUCUCUUGAAUUUGUAACUCUCUUUUAUACACUUCGCAAGUUCUAGAGUUUGCAGGAUGUGUACCGUUGCAAUUUAGGCAUACGACUGGAUCGUCACAUGGAGAACCCGGGUGUAAGGAUUUUCCACAGACACAUACUUGUUCCUUCUCACAUUUUAGUGUUGUGUGUCCGAAACGUUGACACUUGUAACAUCUCAUUGGUUGUGGAACAUAUGGUCUCACUUUCAACGUAUAAAAAGCCGCAUUAAUCACCCUGGGAAGUUGGGUGGCAUUGAAGGGAGCGGGGGAAAAAAACCACCCUCUCCAUCCAUGCCAGAAGCUUGUACUUGCGUUGGGGCCUGGUCAUCCACCCACAACGCCGAGCAGCCGCUUGACAACGGUCGGGUGAGGCCUGCCCGCUCCGCCUCGCUCCCGACCGGCACUGGGGACCGUCCGAACCCCUGCACCCGUUUUUAUGCUACCGCCAGCAUUAAUCAAUACAGGGAAAAAGGGAUAAUUUGGAGUGGUAUAGAUAAAUGGGUAGGUAAGUUACUAAAGGCGGUUGGACUCGACGCCUUUAGUGCCCAUUGAUCGCCUUUUACGAUCUCCAG